rnacentral:lncRNA from 1 species
AAACGUGUUGAGAUUCCUCUUUAAUGAUUGAGACCUGCUGUUUGUAAUGACCUCUCUAUAAUGUCUAAGUUUAAAUUGUUAAGUUCUUUGCCCCGUUGGAGGAGAUAGCUCAGAAGAUAAUUGAGAACGAAGGAAAAAGAGAGUUCCUAAGAAGCCAGAAUCUACGGAUGAUGAAGAAAAAAUUGGAAACGAAGAGAGUGAUUUAGAAGAAGCUUGCAUUUUGCCUCAUAGUCCAAUAAAUGUGGACAAGAGACCCAUUGCAAUUAAAUCACCCAAGGUGCAGUAUUUUCUGUGAUUCUGAGGUUGGCUGAAUAGAAUCAUAGCAUGUAGCACAGGAAUCCACAGUCUUGUACCUCUGUACCUGAGCAUCUGGAGGGAGGGACGGGCGGUUAGAAAUACGGCCCCAGUGAUGCUUCAUGAACUUGACUUAUGAUGUCCUGGUCAGAGCUGUAGCUGGAGAAGGGUUUCCUUUUAUUUUUGGUAUUAGAUUGUAUCAUUAAUUAUUCACCAUUCAUUCCUUAAAUAUAUUCUUUGUUCCAGAAACAGUGCUGGGCCCUGUGGCUAUUAAUAUGAACCAUAACUUAGCUUUGUAUGCCAAGCUAGCCUGUUCCAACAUAUAUUAGUAUAGAGAUUAUAAAAUCACUUAUAAGUAUAUUUAUAGCAUAGUUUUAAAACCAUGUAUUACUAAAUUUAACCAAUUUAAACCUAUGAGCAUUAUUUAUAUUUUACUUGAAUAACUUUUAGAGCACAGUUUAUUAUUAAAUAGGGUAGACUAAUGAUGAAAAUUGUUUUCCUUUGUUAGGACAAAUGGCAGCCGCUGUUGAGUACUGUUACAGGUGUUCACAAAUAUAAGUGGUUGAAGCAGAAUGUGCAGGGUCUUUAUCCGCAGUCUCCACUCCUCAGUACAAUUGCUGAAUUUGCCCUUAAAGAAGAGCCAGUGGAUGUGGAAAAAAUGAGAAAGUGCCUACUAAAACAGUUGGAGAGAGCAGAGGUUCGCCUGGAAGGGAUAGAUACAAUUUUAAAACUGGCGAGCAAGAAUUUCUUACUUCCAUCUGUGCAGUAUGCGAUGUUUUGUGGAUGGCAAAGACUUAUUCCUGAGGGAAUCGAUAUAGGGGAACCUCUUACUGAUUGUUUAAAGGAUGUUGAUUUGAUCCCACCUUUUAAUCGGAUGCUGCUGGAAGUCACCUUUGGCAAGCUGUACGCUUGGGCUGUACAGAACAUUCGAAAUGUUUUGAUGGAUGCCAGUGCCAAAUUUAAAGAGCUUGGUAUCCAGCCGGUUCCCCUGCAAACCAUCACCAAUGAGAACCCGUCGGGACCCAGCCUGGGGACCAUCCCGCAAGCCCGCUUCCUCCUGGUGAUGCUCAGCAUGCUCACCCUGCAGCACGGCGCAAACAACCUCGACCUUCUGCUCAAUUCCGGCAUGCUGGCCCUCACGCAGACGGCACUGCGCCUGAUUGGCCCCAGUUGUGACAACGUUGAGGAAGAUAUGAAUGCUUCUGCUCAAGGUGCUUCUGCCACAGUUUUGGAAGAAACAAGGAAGGAAACGGCUCCUGUGCAGCUCCCUGUUUCAGGGCCAGAACUGGCUGCCAUGAUGAAGAUUGGAACAAGGGUCAUGAGAGGUGUGGACUGGAAAUGGGGCGAUCAGGUACUCAGAGAUUUGAUGUGAACACAUUA